rnacentral:rRNA from 1 species
AUUGAACGCUGGCGGCAGGCCUAACACAUGCAAGUCGGACGGUAGCACAGAGGAGCUUGCUCCUUGGGUGACGAGUGGCGGACGGGUGAGUAAUGUCUGGGGAUCUGCCCGAUAGAGGGGGAUAACCACUGGAAACGGUGGCUAAUACCGCAUAACGUCGCAAGACCAAAGAGGGGGACCUUCGGGCCUCUCACUAUCGGAUGAACCCAGAUGGGAUUAGCUAGUAGGCGGGGUAAUGGCCCACCUAGGCGACGAUCCCUAGCUGGCCUGAGAGGAUGACCAGCCACACUGGAACUGAGACACGGUCCAGACUCCUACGGGAGGCAGCAGUGGGGAAUACUGCACAAUGGGCGCAAGCCUGAUGCAGCCAUGCCGCGUGUAUGAAGAAGGCCUUCGGGUUGUAAAGUACUUUCAGCGGGGAGGAAGGCGGUGAGGUUAAUAACCUUGCCGAUUGACGUUACCCGCAGAAGAAGCACCGGCUAACUCCGUGCCAGCAGCCGCCGUAA